UACUCAAGAGUAAACCUCACCUACGGAAGAACGUAGGAUUAGACGAGGGACGUGCUCAAGAACAUUCCUCACCCACGGAUGAACGCGGGUAGACGAGGAAACACAAUCAGCCCCUAUCGCGGAAAGGCGAGCAAAAGGAGGGGGCAAGUAUUCAAAUAAUAGUCCUCACCUACGGAUGAACGUAGGUAGACGAGGAAUCACACUUAGCCUCAGUCGCAGAAAGGCGAGCAAAAGGAGGGGGCAAGUAUUCAAAUAAUAGUCCUCACCUACGGAUGAACGUAGGUAAACGAGGAGUCACAAUCAGCCCCUAUCGCGGAAAGGCGAGCAAAAGGAGGGGGCAAGUAUUCAAGUAAUAGUCCUCACCUACGGAUGAACGUAGGUAGACGAGGAAUUACACUUAGCCUCAGUCGCAGAAAGGCGAGCAAAAGGAGGGGGCAAGUAUUCAAAUAAUAGUCCUCACCCACGGAUGAACGCGGGUAGACGAGGAGUCACAAUCAGCCCCUAUCGCGGAAAGGCGAGCAAAAGGAGGGGGCAAGUAUUCAAAUAAUAGUCCUCACCUACGGAUGAACGUAGGUAGACAAGGAAUUACACUUAGCCUCAGUCGCAGAAAGGCGAGCAAAAGGAGGGGGCAAGUAUUCAAAUAAUAGUCCUCACCCACGGAUGAACGCGGGUAGACGAGGAAGUACACUCAGCCCCUAUCGCGGAAAGGCGGAUAAAAGGAGGGGGUCGGGUACUCUCAAAAACCCGCCACAGGGAAGAGAACCCAAGCAGUGCUCAAGGACAGCUCAGGCAAGGCGUCAAGGUGGGCAAGCAGGGUUCCGCGGGAGAAUCGGGCCAGACAGGUGUGCAAGGAGUAGGCUUCGGCUAGGACAAACCGGACAAUAGUUGGCAAAAGCGCGUGACAAACCUCCGUGGAAGCAUAGAUACAACCUCGCAGGCGUGGAGGGGGGGGAGUACUGGUGAGAGAGGAUCGUACAUCCAGGGACAUCACCAGAAAUCCACAUCCCAGCACGCAAAGAGGGGGGGAAUACUGAUAGUACAGGGUCCGACACACAGACCAUAGUACUAAAAGACGUAUCCCAAAGUACCUAGUACGCAGAGGAGGGGGGAGUACUGGUGAUACAGUAUCCCGAACACGGUCACAACCUACCAGCAACUAGAAGUCCGGAUAGCCUAAGAUGAGUUGAGG
rnacentral:lncRNA from 1 species